GCCGACUUAGCACAGUGGCAGUGCGUCUCCCUCGUAAGGAGAAGGCCGCGUGUUCGAUCCACGCAGUCGGUA